AAUGAACGCUAGCGGUAGGCCUAACACAUGCAAGUUGAACGCAUACUUUUACAGUAUAAGUAGCAAACGGGUGAGUAACGCGUGAGAAAUCUACCUUACAAUCUGGGAUAAAAUCCCGGAUUCUUUCUAAACUAGAUGUUCCGACAAAUAGUAUAGAAUAAAAGAUUAAAUGUCGUUGUAAGAUGUGCUCGCGUAGGAUUAGGUAGUUGGUGAGGUAAAAGCUACACCAAGCCGAAGAUCCUUAGCUGGUCUGAGAGGAUGAUCAGCCACACUGGGACUGAGACACGGCCCAGACGCUUUCGAGCGGCAGCAGUGAGGAAUUUUGGACAAUGGGCGAAAGCCUGAUCCAGCCAUAUCGCAUGAGUGAAGAAGGCUAAAUUGGUUGUAAAGCUCUGAUUUGAUUGAAGAUUAUGACAUAAGAUAAAAGAAUAGUCCCGGCUAACUUCGUG
rnacentral:rRNA from 1 species